rnacentral:rRNA from 1 species
UACGUAGGGGGCAAGCGUUAUCCGGAUUUACUGGGUUUAAAGGGUGUGUAGGCGGGCUUUUAAGUCAGUGGUGAAAUCUCCGGGCUCAACCCGGAAACUGCCAUUGAUACUAUUAGUCUUGAAUUUUGUUGAGGUAGGCGGAAUAAGUCAUGUAGCGGUGAAAUGCUUAGAUAUGACUUAGAACACCAAUUGCGAAGGCAGCUUGCUAAACAAAUAUUGACGCUGAGGCACGAAAGCGUGGGGAUCAAACAGG